rnacentral:rRNA from 1 species
UACGGAGGGGGCUAGCGUUGUUCGGAAUUACUGGGCGUAAAGCGCACGUAGGCGGCUUAUCAAGUCAGGCGUGAAAUUCCCGGGCUCAACCUGGGGGCUGCGCUUGAUACUGAUGAGCUUGAAUGCGGGAGAGGAUAGUGGAAUUCCCAGUGUAGAGGUGAAAUUCGUAGAUAUUGGGAAGAACACCGGUGGCGAAGGCGGCUAUCUGGCCCGUAAUUGACGCUGAGGCGCGAAAGCGUGGGGAGCAAACAGG